CAAAAGGCCCUUAUAAGGGCCACCCACGCUUUCAUAAAAAGAGCUG
rnacentral:ncRNA from 1 species